GACUUCAAUUGUUGGGUGUCUAAGGUUAUGAAUCAUAUAAAUUAAAGGUACAAGUCUCUUAUGAAUCUUCUUGAUAGUUAUUAUGGGGUGCCACUUUGAUUUGAUUAAUUUGGACGUGUCCAUUAAUUAGAGGGCCUUUGAUUUUCAUAUGGGGUGUCUCUUGAGUGCAAAAGAGGGUGUCUAAUUAUGAGUAUAAGGCCUCCAAUAGUUGGCGCCUAAUGGGCUUCCUAAUGUAAGUUGGAUAACUUAAGUUAAUAAGAAUCUUAAUACAAGUAGGACUUGUAUUAUGAGAUUUAAUAGGAUUCAAUCUUUAUACCUAUUUAAAAGAUCCUCCCCUA
rnacentral:lncRNA from 1 species